GCCUCGGACCGGUACCGGUCCGUGAGUCGUUUGGUACCGGGCCGCGAGAGUUGAGGCUCGGGUGUGAAAUGUAUGGCUUUCAGGGGUUUUUUUAUUUUUUUUUAUCGGUUUUUAGCGUUUACUGUGUUUCCCACUGAUAAAGACCUCCUCCAUUAACAUCCACGAAGUAAAAAGCUGCUGGCGAGGGUGUGCAAGGAUACGGCAAACCUUGCUUUCCCCAUUUGUUCCUUUCAAUCUUUUAUCAUUCACCACAAAGGCGAAACAUCAAAUAAUGCAUCAAAGAAUAUCAUUUAAAGGCUUCCCUGUUCUCCAGUGACGGUGACCACCAUCUUUCGGGAAGGUUUCCUUCUCUAACAUCCAGC
ensembl:lncRNA